CACCAGGUGGGAGAGUACGUCGUUCGCGCACUGGAUCUACCCCUUCUACCCAUGAUGGGACGGAGCCAGCAUCGCCGCCACAUGUUGCAUCGCAGUCGUCGGAUCCCUCAGUCACGUAUACAUCGGGCACUGCAUCGUCGUCGACCAGCCGACGAGGACGUGGACCCACGCGUGGGUUGCUUUUACAGCGACUUACACGUGAGGGUAGGGUGACAGUAGAGUUCCCACAAGACUGUAUUAGACCUGUAGGGAAUAAUGCUAGAUUAUUUACGUCAGAGGUCGGUGUCUUAUGCCGAUCUAUGAUCCCUACCAUCACCUCCCAUUGGGCAGACGUGACAAAUGAUGUGCGGUAGCUCAUCUGUCAACGCUUUCAGGAUAAAUUUCACUUGAAUUUGAGUGUUCCGCACAUCUCCUAUGCCGUCGACGACAUGAUGAAGGAGCGGUUCAAGGCUUACCGUGGUAAGUUAUACCAGCAGUACAAGCGGUCCGUGAGCCACGAGGAGCUCGUACAGUUCGCACCACCUCACGUGACCCAUGAGGACUGGCGGAUACUCUGCGAUAGGUUUUCGUCUGAUUCUUUUCAGAAGAGGAGCAAAAUAAAUUCCGACAACAGGAGAAAGUUAGAAGUAAACCAUGUAGCUGGUUCAAAGUCAUUUAUAUGACUUCGUCACAACAUGGUAAGAAAUUACUGGUAAUUUAUAUAUUCUUUCCAUGCAUUUAUAUUAACUCUAUUUUUCUUUCGAUUGCGCAACGAGAUUCCGUCACUGGCCAGGAGCCCGGACCAGUAGAUUUCUAUAAAGGGACUCACUGUCGGCAGGCGAGUGGAUCUUGGAUACAUCCUAGAGCCAGCGAGAUUUGGGAGGAGAUGAACACCUUACGCAGUUAGCCCACUCCUGAUGGUACUCAGUGGAGUGAGCCAGAGAUCCUGAGUCAGGUGCUUGGCACCUGUUCUGGAUAUGUGCGUGGGCUUGGCCAUGGUGCCAAGCUCAUGGCACCCGCUAGAGCUGCCUCCAGCCGAUCCGUCGUCGUUGGUGACAACGUCGCACGCCAAGCUGAUACUGCAGAGAAAGAGGUUCAGCAGCUACGGGUUGUCGUCGAUGACAUUAGAGAUCAGCUGGACAGGCAGAGGGAGGAGCAGGAGAGGAAGAUGAUGGAGGAGCUGGCAAGGUAGAGGGAGGAACAGGAGAGGAAGAUGGAGGAUCAGCUGGCGAGGCAGAGGGAGGAGCAGGAGAGGAAGAUGGAAGAGAUGUGGGUGGAGCAUGAGUGACGGAUGACGGAGAUGUUUCAAGCUUUCGCUGCACGCUUACCCACCGAUGCCCCACCACCUUCGCCUUCAUCUUUAUGAUUUUUUCUUUUUUAUUUAUAAUGUUAAACUUAUAUGUAUUUAUGCGUGAAUGAAUGUGAUGUGUAUAAGAUUGUUUGUAGUUUAUGUUUGGAUGGAUUAACUAAUUUGGGUUAGAUGGAUCUGAAUGUGAAUAUGAUGAAAUUUGACAGGUGUAUUAUGAUAUAACAGGUGUACAUCAGGAAAAAUAUGAUACAUAACAGGUGUAUAUUAGGAUGUGAAUAUGAAUAUGAUGAUAUAACAGGUAUAUCAGGAUGAAUAUGAUGAAAUAUAUUGCAA